rnacentral:rRNA from 1 species
AUUGAACGCUGGCGGCAGGCCUAACACAUGCAAGUCGAACGAGUGGCGGACGGGUGAGUAAUGUCUGGGAAACUGCCCGAUGGAGGGGGAUAACUACUGGAAACGGUAGCUAAUACCGCAUACCAUCGGAUGUGCCCAGAUGGGGUUAGCUAGUAGUUGGGGUAACGGCUCACCUAGGCGACGACCCCUAGCCGGUCUGAGAGGAUGACCGGCCACACUGGAACUGAGACCCGGGCCAGCCUCCAACGGAAGGCAGCAGUGGGGAGUAUUGCCCAAUGGGGGCAAGCCUAGUGCGAACAUACCGGGUGUAUAAGGAGGGCCUUCGGGUUGUAAAGUACGUUCAGCGAGGAGGCGUUACUCACAGAAGAAGCAACGGCUAACUCCGUGCCAGCAGCCGCGGUAAUUC